AUUGAACGCUGGCGGCAGGCCUAACACAUGCAAGUCGAGCGGAUGAAGGGAGCUUGCUCCUGGAUUCAGCGGCGGACGGGUGAGUAAUGCCUAGGAAUCUGCCUGGUAGUGGGGGAUAACGUCCGGAAACGGGCGCUAAUACCGCAUACGUCCUGAGGGAGAAAGUGGGGGAUCUUCGGACCUCACGCUAUCAGAUGAGCCUAGGUCGGAUUAGCUAGCUGGUGGGGUAAAGGCCUACCAAGGCGACGAUCCGUAACUGGUCUGAGAGGAUGAUCAGUCACACUGGAACUGAGACACGGUCCAGACUCCUACGGGAGGCAGCAGUGGGGAAUAUUGGACAAUGGGCGAAAGCCUGAUCCAGCCAUGCCGCGUGUGUGAAGAAGGUCUUCGGAUUGUAAAGCACUUUAAGUUGGGAGGAAGGGCAGUAAGUUAAUACCUUGCUGUUUUGACGUUACCAACAGAAUAAGCACCGGCUAUCUUCGUG
rnacentral:rRNA from 1 species